rnacentral:rRNA from 1 species
ACGGAGGGGGCAAGCGUUGUUCGGAAUUAUUGGGCGUAAAGAGUAUGUAGGCGGUUAGAUAAGUCAGAUGUGUAAGCCCAGGGCUCAACCCUGGAAUUGCAUUUGAAACUGUCUGACUUGAGUUCAGGAGAGGAAAGCGGAAUUCCCAGUGUAGCGGUGAAAUGCAUUGAUAUUGGGAAGAACAUCGGUGGCGAAGGCGGCUUUCUGGUCUGAUACUGACGCUGAGAUACGAAAGCUAGGGGAGCGAACGGG